UACGGAGGGUGCAAGCGUUAUCCGGAUUCACUGGGUUUAAAGGGUGCGUAGGUGGGCAGGUAAGUCCGUGGUGAAAUCUCUGAGCUUAACUCAGAAACUGCCGUGGAUACUAUUUGUCUUGAAUGUUGUGGAGGUGAGCGGAAUAUGUCAUGUAGCGGUGAAAUGCUUAGAUAUGACAUAGAACACCAAUUGCGAAGGCAGCUCACUACACAAUUUAUUGACGCUGAGGCACGAAAGCGUGGGGAUCAAACAGG
rnacentral:rRNA from 1 species